rnacentral:rRNA from 1 species
AUUGAACGCUGGCGGCAGGCCUAACACAUGCAAGUCGAACGAGUGGCGGACGGGUGAGUACUGUCUGGGAAACUGCCUGAUGGAGGGGGAUCACUACUGGAAACGGUAGCUAAUACCGCAUACCAUCAGAUGUGCCCAGAUGGGAUUAGCUAGUUGGGGGGGUAACGGCUCACCAAGGCGACGAUCCCUAGAUGGUCUGAGAGGAUGACCAGCCAAACUGGAACUGAGACACGAUCCGGACGCCUACGGGAGGCAGCAGGGGGAAAUAUUGAGUAAUGGGCGCAAGCCUGAGGAAGCCAUGCCGAGUGUAUGAAGAAGGCUUUCUGGUUGUAAAGUACUUUCAGCGGGGAGGCGUUACCCGCAGAAGAAGCACCGGCUAACUCCGUGCCAGCAGCCGCGGUAAUUC